rnacentral:ncRNA from 1 species
CCACAGCCGGGGUGGACCCAUAAGGGAUAAGCCCGGACUCGUAAGCCGAUAGAGCGAGAUGAAAACAUCAUCGGCAGCC